UACGGAGGGGCUAGCGUUGUUCGGAAUUACUGGGCGUAAAGGGCGCGUAGGCGGCGCGAUAAGUUGGGCGUGAAAGGCCCGGGCUCAACCCGGGGACUGCGCUUGAUACUGUCGCGCUGUGAGUCCGGGAGAGGAUGGCGGAAUUCCCAGUGUAGAGGUGAAAUUCGUAGAUAUUGGGAAGAACACCGGUGGCGAAGGCGGCCAUCUGGACCGGCACUGACGCUGAGGCGCGAAAGCGUGGGGAGCAACAGG
rnacentral:rRNA from 1 species